CGUAGGGUGCGAGCGUUGUCCGGAAUUAUUGGGCGUAAAGGGCUCGUAGGCGGUCUGUUACGUCGGGAGCGAAAACUCGGGGCUCAACCCCGAGCCUGCUUCCGAUACGGGCAGACUAGAGGUAUGCAGGGGAGAACGGAAUUCCUGGUGUAGCGGUGAAAUGCGCAGAUAUCAGGAGGAACACCGGUGGCGAAGGCGGUUCUCUGGGCAUUACCUGACGCUGAGGAGCGAAAGUGUGGGGAGCGAACAGGAUUAGAUACCCUGGUAGUCCACACCGUAAACGUUGGGCGCUAGGUGUGGGACUCAUUCCACGAGUUCCGUGCCGCAGCUAACGCAUUAAGCGCCCCGCUGGGGAGUACGGCCGCAAGGCCUA
rnacentral:rRNA from 1 species